UUAGCUUCACUGCCCCUCUUCCAUCUGUUUGCCAGUUCACUCAGUCACUUGCACCUCACCUGGUCUUUCAUCCCUGUUUUGGGAAUUUCUUUCUUCAUCUUGAGAAGUAUGCAUCUAGGGGCAGCCAUCUUUUUUUUUUCAACACAACAUGACAAGCAAGGUAUCUUUGGAUCCCAAAUCUGACCUGGAAAGUUUGGGAAGAGUCCCCAGCAACAAAGAACAGAGCGGCUUUUUGAGCUGUGUUUACAAGUAUACGAUAUGAUGCAUAUGUAUGACACUCAGAUCAUACAUAUGCAGAUGAAGCCGGGUGGUUGGUGGAAGUCGAAGGAUGCUUGAGCCGACUGCUGCGAGAUGAUUGGCCCGAUCCAAAAGGGUAAUCUUUGCUGCUGCUCUCCCUGCCUCCUUUUGCAAACCACUUUGCAACCCAACUCCAUCCCUGCAUCUUCUUUAUGAUAAUCUUUGCUGAUGCUCUGCCUGCCUUCCUUUGAAACUGCUUUGCAAUCCAACUCCAUCCCUGCGUCUUCUUUAAGGU